rnacentral:lncRNA from 1 species
GUAUAUUGAAUUGAAAUCAUCAAUUCCUCUGUUAGUAAUUCUGCUUCUUCCUUCAAUUGUUUCUGAGGAGAAAGUUCUCUAUUGAUUCUGGAAAAUGAAAAUAAUGCAUAACUUAAAUGAAGCACAUUAGCACAUUGAAAAAAAUAGUCAUUGAACUACUAUAUAACAUGCAUUACUUCUCAAAAUAAUGUUCCAAGCUAUGCGAUUGACGAUCCUUUGAAUGGUUUCCAAAGCUAACUAAUUCUCCUAAAAAGAGACGAGUUCAAAAUGAAAAAGAAAAGAGACAAGGAAUUGAAUGAUUCCCACAGUAAAAAAAGGGAAGCGAUGUCGAGGGGGCAGAAACAUCGAGAAAAGUAAGAUCGUGUAACGCCCCCACGCCCGAGACCAUCUCCGGAGUUGAGCUUGAGGGGUUACCGAACAAUAUUUAUCAAAUUAAGAACUUCAAAUCAUUUAUUUCUACAUUCACAGCUUUCUAACUACCCGCGUCACAGUUACAAGAAAAAUCAUAUCUCGAGUUACGAAACUCAAAAUCUAGAUCCGUAAAUUUUCCAUAAAUCUAGAUUCAUAUAUCUAUUUACUAAUUUUUUUCUAGAAUUUUUUGUUGGGCCAAUUAGUACAGUUUAUUAGUUAAAGUCUCCCCUGUUUCAGGGUUCGACUGCUCUAACCUCUGUGUAUUACGAAUCAGAUAUUUCUCUAUACAGAAAUUAAAUGACUAUGAGGUUUGUUUCUAAUAAAACUAGACUCAAUAAAGAACCUGUAAAUAUAAAGAAAAACUUCUAAUUAUUUUUUUAAAAUUUAUUAUGAAUUUUUAAAGUCAGAACAGAGGAUCCAAAAAUCACUCUGGCCCUGUUUCACAAGGUUUCAAAUAUCUCAUAAAGUAUAAUUUAUAUGCCUCUUUUUUUUAUCUAUAUGAAGAUAGACUCAUUAAGCUUCAAUUUCAUAACUUGCUAAUCAUUUAAUUCCAUUUAUACUAUUUUUAGUGAUUUUUCAAAUUCAUGUCAUUGCUGCAGCAAUAUUCUGUUUUAAGGCGAAUUUCAUCUUUUCAUGAGUUGUUAUGAACUAGAUAACCUAUUAAACUUCCAUGAUAUCAAACAUGAACUAAAUUUAACCAUCACCAUGACUUAUCAAUAUCAAACAUUUUCUCAACCAAUCAUGGCCAUAUCAUAAAAUUAUUUACACAAAAUAAAUAUAUAGCUAUACAUGCCAUACUUAAGUUUUACAAGCCAUUUACCCAGAUGAAAGUCCUUUGGAUAGUGUGAUCGAACCUUCGACCCGUCCCGAUUCCCGAGCUGGCUUGUUCAAAACUACAGUAAAUAAAGAGGAGGGAGUAAGCAUAAAUGCUUAGUAAGUUCAUAUGUAAAUGACAAGUAACAUAACAAUACAAAUAUACCAAACAACUUUAGCAUGGUAUCACCAAAACAUAUAUCAUAUUUCUAAACAUCAUUCAUCAUCUUACUACCUUAUCGUUGUUGUAUCUAUUAUCAACCCGAGGGUUAAGAACAUACCUGUCCAAAGUGUCCAUUUCACAACACUUACCAAAACGUCGCUUGCAUCUUAAGUGUUCUUUCAUUUCACUAGAAAUUUCACCCGUUGAACACAUCGGAAUACAACUCGGAUACACGGAUAAUUUGCACAUAAGUGCCUCAUAUGUAAUCAAGAAAUCAUGUAACCCGCCCCUAAGUGAACUUGGACUCAACUCAACGAGCUCGGGCGUUCGCAUCCAUAAGUGAACUCGGACUCAACUCAAUGAGUUCGGAUGCCUAGUUACAUCUCACGAACUCGGACUCAACUCAACGAGUUCGGACAUUUGCAUCCAUAAAUGAACUCGGACUCAACUCAACGAGUUCGGAUGCUCAACCAUCCUAGUGACAUGUCACUUGUAUCCUAAUCUAUUCCUAAGGUUCAAACGGGCUUUUUCCCUCGAUCUCAUAUUUGCCGUCUUCCAUGGAAUAUCGGAAUCGAUACUCGGUAGCAAUUCAUAUUUAUCAAGUAGUAAACAUAAUUUGCAUAUUACUCAACAUUAACCACAAAGCAUAAUAUUUCACGAUUAAAAAUCAGCGUAUCAUAUAAUUAACAUCAAUAACUUAAAAAUAACAAUUAUGCUACAUUAUUUACACAUGAACUUACCUUGGUACCAAAAUAUAAAGAUUUUGCAAUUUAGUCCACAAUCUUUUCUUUUCCUCGAUCACGACUUGAAUCUCGUUUUUCUUGAU